AUUGAACGCUGGCGGCAGGCCUAACACAUGCAAGUCGAACGGUAACAGGAAGAAGCUUGCUUCUUUGCUGACGAGUGGCGGACGGGUGAGUAAUGUCUGGGAAACUGCCUGAUGGAGGGGGAUAACUACUGGAAACGGUAGCUAAUACCGCAUAACGUCGCAAGACCAAAGAGGGGGACCUUCGGGCCUCUUGCCAUCGGAUGUGCCCAGAUGGGAUUAGCUAGUAGGUGGGGUAACGGCUCACCUAGGCGACGAUCCCUAGCUGGUCUGAGAGGAUGACCAGCCACACUGGAACUGAGACACGGUCCAGACUCCUACGGGAGGCAGCAGUGGGGAAUAUUGCACAAUGGGCGCAAGCCUGAUGCAGCCAUGCCGCGUGUAUGAAGAAGGCCUUCGGGUUGUAAAGUACUUUCAGCGGGGAGGAAGGGAGUAAAGUUAAUACCUUUGCUCAUUGACGUUGCCCGCAGAAGAAGCACCGGCUAACUCCGUG
rnacentral:rRNA from 1 species